CUCUGGCAACCUCAGCAUGUGAUCUCAGCACAGGGCUCUGCUCCCCUCCGGUGGCCACUCGGUGUCACUGCAUGCCCCACCUGCUCCAGUCCCAGGAAGAGAGAGCUCCAGUUUGGAAAGCUGACCUGCAGGAAUGUGCGCCCCUCCUCCUGCCCCCAGGUGGCCCUUGCGUGCCUCUCCCUCGGGGAUAGUUUAUAGCUACCUGUCCCCAGAGCCACUUGCACUCACAAGCCGCCUCUGGGAGGUGAUUGCCUCAUGGGCGUGGUACACCUGGGUUGUCAGGAGGGGAUCUGGGCGCUGAGAGAAAUCGCCUGGUUCAGGGCCUGGAAGCCUUCAUCUCGCUGCCUCUGCUCCCUGGACUCUGCUUUCUGUCUGCCAGGCCCCUCUGCCAUGCUGCGCUGCCUUCGAGCUGCUGACUAGGGACUGAAACCUCUACAAAGUGCGAGCCGAGAUAAACCUCUCCUCAUUUAACUUGUUUGUGUCCGGUAUCGUGUCUCAGUGACCAAGUCACUCCCCUUGAGGUCCUGCCCUUGACACCUGCAUGGCACAUGAGUGACACCUCUCAGGGCAGGUCCGACCUUGGCUCUUGGGGAGGUUCUGGAGACAUGAUGGGGCCCCCUGGGGAGAGUCCUGGACGGGUCUAGGCCCCUGCCCCAGGUGUGUGGUCAAAAACAGUACGGCGUGUGGGUGCAGGAGUGGCUCUGCCUGUGUCCGACGCUCUCCACAAGGCCCCGGCAGCUUCCCGGCCGCACCUGUGCCCACCUCAGCCUGAGGGUGUGGGCCCACCUGAGCCACACUAGAGCUCCUGACCUGGCAAGACCCAUGGGGCCCUGAUCCUUCCAUGAGGUCUAGAAAGGCUCAAUCAGUCUCUGGAAGGGCCUGACUCCCCUGCUGCUCAUCCACCACACAGUGCCCAGUCAUGUCCUGUCCUUGUGGGAUUUCUUCCACAGCUAGCAAGUGCAGUCCAUUGUGACCUCACUUGUGUGUAGGGCUGUCUUAGUCUUCAAGCUUCAGUCCUUCUGCCCCAAGACCUGUGCUGCUUUGCUGAUCUCAAGACACGACGCUGUCUCAGAGAGGCAGGGUGGAAGAAAAGCCCGGGCCUCUGACUCUGCUGCUCACUCGUCUCUCCCCGGCGCCACCUCUCCCAUUUUGGAAACCUGGUCCGAAUGGCACCAUCCACCGGACAUUCCCCAAAUCAAGAUCAAAAGGGCCGGCUUGCAAGUGAACUCACCUGGAGCAGACAUGGAGCCUCCCUUGUGCCUUCCCCUUGCUCAGCUCCGGCUCCAUGUCCAGAACACCAUGGGCCUGCUCUGCAGCCAGAGCCAGCACCAGAGAAGGAGCCUCCUCUGGAGACAGGAGAGAAGCAGAAGCCAGCUCC
rnacentral:lncRNA from 1 species